rnacentral:misc_RNA from 1 species
UUAACUUGUUUGUUUUUUCUCGAGAUGCCAACGCAAAGAGACAGAGUAUAGUAGGCUGCCGGCGGGCUGUGCGCCCCGGCGAGGGAAAACCCCCGCCGGGACACCCGCCGAAGCAACGUGCUUGUAGUGAGGUUCACAGGGUGAAGGAGUCUUGCGAGUCCUGUAAUGAUCCCUCCGCUGGUUCACCAACGGAGA